AACAGAUGGCCAAGCUGCUGCGGAACCAACAUCGAACCAAGGAGAAGAAACGGGGGAAGGUGGCGCGUGAGAAACGAACGCGCGUGAAGCCAGGAUGGUUGAAGGAAUUUGUGAUGAUGGAGCAACACUGAAGAGAGAGAGCCUAGGAGCAACAGAAUUCUGUUGUAUAUAUUUUUGCAUUUCCUUAUUUGAUUUUGUUGGUUGGAUAUAUAUAUAUAUAUAUAUAUAUAUAUAUACUGGACCAGUGUUGGUUUUGGGGGAUAUUGUUCUCUGUGGAGUUUAGCACUGACUCGAAGAGUGCCUUUUCUAUUAGCCACCGACCACUGCCAUGCUCCAGCCCAAUUGACGCAUCAUUCCCCGAAACCCCCGACCCCCGAAGCUCACCUCCACUUGUGCCAUCCUCCGCCUCUAGGAGCAAUCCAAAGUCACGCCGCCAUGGCUUUUGAGCCACUUUCUGACGAUCUGCGGCAUCAUCUCGGCCAGGGGUUAGUAUGGCUGGACUCAAGAGACCAAGGAAAACAAAACCCACUAAGGGAUCGACUCCAAUCGUUGAUGGAGAAGCAUGAGGAUUCUCAUCGAAAUCCAUGGAUUCCAUGGCGUUUUGGAUUUGAUCCGGACCCCUCAAGCCACCGUGAGUUUCACUGCCACCACCUCUAGCUUCCUCAUUGAACGAUCUUCAAAACCUAGGGGUCUAAUUCCUCAACCACCGCGGUUGAACAGUAACACCACUAUCAACCACCACGGGCCGCCACCUAAGUUCGAGUGGCCACCAUUUUUGGUGUUCCAGAGUUUGUUUCGAGCUCGUAUCAUUCUCCCGAACAUUGGAAUACGCAGGCCCUGAAUGAGGAUCUUUUGUUCUAAGAGGCAUGGGAGAUCCAGUGAACACUUCAGAGCAAACUUGUAGUGGAAUUAGCAAGGAGCAUUGGAAAAGCUUGCCAUUAAUUAGAGGAGGUAUAAUCUCUUAUUCUUUUUAAUAUUAUACAAGUGUUAGAGGAGUUUGAAUAUCUUAAAUAUUCAUCCAUAGUGAGGUAGGUUCUAGGAUAAUAAUUGUGUGCUGCAGUGAUAACGGAAGGUUGAGAAUUUGUAUGUCUCAGUGAAGUAGGUUCUGUAAUACAUAUAAUUGUGUGCUUGGAGAGAUAUAAGGAAGAAAAAUUGCAUGUUGUUUGAAUUGAAUGAAUUAUUUGAAAUGAUAUUGACAGAGGGAAGUGUUGUCCGUUUUAAAUUUAGUUAUGAUAAUUAUGUGUUUGUUAUA